GGGCAGCAGAAAACCAGCGACGUGUCUGAAUUUGACAAGUAAAGAUAAACCAGGGUAAACAGUCUACUUAGAAAGGUGAAAGUAAAUACGGAAAAAGCAGCUGAAAUUUUCUUUUUCUUUUUUUUUUUUGAGGCGGAGUCUCGCUCUGUCAGCCAGGCUGGAGUGAGGGGCGCGAUCUCCGCUCACCGCAAGCUCCGCCCCCCGGGUUCCCGCCAUUCUCCUGCCUCAGCCUCCCGAGGAGCUGGGACCACAGGCGCCGCCAUCACGCCCGGCUAGUUUGUGUAUUUUUAGUAGAGACGGGGUUUCACCGUGUUAGCCAGGAUGGUCUCCAUCUCCUGACCUCGUGAUCCGCCCGCCUCGGCCUCCCAAAGUGCGGGGAUUACGGGCGUGAGCCACCGCGCCCGGCAACAGCUAAAAUUUCCAAAGCCACUUGCUGCCGUGAAAUGGAAAAGAGCAGCGGCAGGGGGAGGAGGUUCCUGUUCUUCUACUUAAAUCCCUCCAACCAUCUGAAACGACAGAUACCACAACACCCGUACUGCACGGUGAGUCAUCCCCAGUGA
rnacentral:lncRNA from 1 species